rnacentral:rRNA from 1 species
AUGGCUCAUGGCGAUCAUCAAAAUAAUGAUGAUGAUUUCAUGGAUCCACCACAGCGUAAUCGGGCAACUGGACGGAGAAAAGAGGGUGAUGAGAAGAAGAAACGUAUUCGCAACAGAGCCUCCCAAGAACGAUUGACUGCGUUGACUGACAAAUUCACCGACGAUCAGAAGGGGGCUGCUGCUGAGAUGGGUAUGCAGUCUAUGAUGGAUGUCCGGUGCAGGAACCUUGUCAACCCUGUAUGCGACUGGCUUGGUGAGAUCUACGACCCUGCCUCCAGGGAAUUCGUGAUUCCGGGACGUGGAAGACUACCGUUGAACGAGGAAUCCGUGUUCUGCACUUUGGGUGUGCCUCGUGGACAUAUCAAAGUCCUGUACGAGGUCAACAAUGAGAUCGAGGAAGCGUUGUUUCCCCGUUUGUUUCCUGGGUCGGAAUCCAUGCCGAACAUGUCUGCAGUGGCAGAUUCGCUGCAGGCCAUGACGACGCAUGGAGAUGUUUUCAAGAUGAAGCUACUCAUGUACCUCAUCUUAGUUGUUUUUGCGUCGACCACCUCUCUUCGCCCAAGCAACAAAUGCUUCCCCAUCCUGGCGGAUCUGGAAAAUGUGAAGAACAUGAAUUGA